rnacentral:ncRNA from 1 species
AACCCGGAGAAUUCCGCUUGCAGCGGAUGCCGAAGGUGCAAACAGGUUUGACCUGCCAAUCUCUCAGGCAAAAGGACGGGGCA